UACGUAGGGGGCAAGCGUUGUCCGGAUUUAUUGGGCGUAAAGAGCGUGUAGGCGGCCUGAAAGGUCAGCUGUGAAAACUCGAGGCUCAACCUCGAGACGUCGGUUGAAACCAUCUGGCUAGAGUCCGGAAGAGGAGUGUGGAAUUCCCGGUGUAGCGGUGAAAUGCGCAGAUAUCGGGGAAGAACACCCGUGGCGAAGGCGGCACUCUGGGACGGUACUGACGCGUGAGACGCGGAAAGCGUGGGGAGCCGAACAGG
rnacentral:rRNA from 1 species